AGAUUGAACGCUGGCGGCAGGCCUAACACAUGCAAGUCGAGCGGUAGAGAGGUGCUUGCACCUCUUGAGAGCGGCGGACGGGUGAGUAAUGCCUAGGAAUCUGCCUAGUGGUGGGGGAUAACGGUUCGGAAACGGACGCUAAUACCGCAUACGUCCUACGGGAGAAGCGGGGGACCUUCGGGCCUCGCGCCAUUAGAUGAGCCUAGGUCGGAUUAGCUAGUUGGUGAGGUAAUCGGCUCACCGAAGGCGACGACUCCGUAACUGGUCUGAGAGGAUGAUCAGUCACACUGGAACUGAGACGACGGUCCAGACCGUCCGUAACGGGA
rnacentral:rRNA from 1 species